AUUGUCAUAUUUGGGGGUAUAGAUGGAUACUCCAGAAAGAUCAUGUACCUGGAACCAGCCACAAAUAAUCGCUCAAGUACAGCCCUCUCAUUUUUUCUGAAGGCGGUACAAAAUCAUGGCUGGCCUUCACGGGUGAGAGGUGAUGAAGGUGUAGAGAAUGUCAAAAUAGCAGAAACCAUGUUCACAGUAAAAGGUACAUGAAGGGGAAGCUUCAUCGCUGGAAAAAGCGUGCAUAACCAAAGAAUUGAACAUCUGUGGAGAGAUGUCUGGGUCAGUGUUACACAGAUAUAUUAUGAGGUUCUUCACAGCCUUGAAGAAGACUGCCUUUUGGAUAUAUCAAAUACACUUCACCUCUUCUGUGUGCACUACGUUUUCAUAAAAAGGCUGCAGAAUGAUCUGCACACAUUCAGUCAAGGGUGGGACAAUCACCCCUUGCGCACAGAAGGAGGACUAACUCCAAACCAGUUGUGGGUUUUGGGGCAUAUGCAGACCCCUUCCACUGAGGCUGAAGAAAAUGUGCAGGUGGUUGAAAUUAUUGUAUUAUUGUUAAACUGACUGGAAAUACGGACUGCAUCUUAUAAUUUUAUCUGAAUAUAUUCUUUUCUAUAUUUUCUCCCAAC